AAAGCGUAUCACACACCGGUACAGAAAGCGCUGUGUGUCUCGGCCUGUGGAAGGUGACCUGGUGUCGGCUGCACCUCACCUUUUCAAGAAAAAUCGCAAUGCUGACUUUUCUCCGCGUUAUCUCGCUUCCCACUGUUCUCGCAUUUCUCUUCGCGGCUCUCGCUAGGUUCUUUCAAGGUGUAGAAAGCGUGGAAAACGCCGAGAACGGACGACCGGAUUUCUGUGCCGUGUCACGGAGCGGCGUUCUGCCGGGGUAAGGGAGUCUCCUCGUUCGCGCCGGAGAAAGGGGGAGAAAUGCACUCUCGACGCUCGUCAAAGUACUCAAACGUUCAUCUCCGCGCGAUGUCACGAGUCUUCUAUUUCAAACAAAGACGAAACGGCAGCCUGUGGUUUAUUCGACCACUCGGAACUGCCCUGCCUCCCAAGAUACUUUCCUCGCGUCCAACCGCUUCCAGACACUUCGUGGAACAGGACGGAGUUGCUUUUUAACCGCCUCUUUUUCCCUCGUUUCGUCUUUGCUGAUUUCCAACCUUCUCUUUCCUCGCUCUCGCGGCCUUGUUCUCUGUCGACCCCAGACUGAAGGAGGCCUUCGUUUCUCCUCGCCAGUGUGAGUCCUUAGUUCCUCUUUUUCGCAUUUUCCAGACGGACUCUGCUUCUCUGCUCUCUCUUUUCUUCCUUGCUUUCACCGCGGCUGUCUCGACAGAAACGAACGCAUGGCUUCC
rnacentral:lncRNA from 1 species